UUGAUCACAUGUCUGAACUUCUGUUGUCACUGAGCGGUUCUUUGAUCAUUAGCGUAGGCUGUCUGUUUUCUACAUAUUAUAUUACAGCAAUGGCGUCAGAGUAGCUGCAAAAAUGGGAUUUUGCUGUACAAUCGCAGAUUGGUUGCUUUUCUGACUGUUGCAUUGCUCUAUUUGCUGCAACUGCCGCCAAAUGUUGCUUUACCAUGUCUGGUGAAUGCCUUAAACGUGAACCACAUUUGGAUGAUGCUUGUGAAAGUAUAACAUACUCCUUGUAUGUAAAGAAAACUAUCACACCGGUAGGUGUGGUGGAGUCACUGAUGAAAUAGAAGUUGAAAAAUGAAAGUUCUCGCAAAAUUUGGAAGUGUUCAUGGCGCUUGCCAUCAAAAAUGUGUAACAAUCCAAGCAAACAUAAAGAUAACCUACCUAUCCUAAAGAAUAUGAAAGUGAUGCGUCAAGUUGAAAGAGUUGAGAUUAUAUAGGAUUCAGUGCAAUUCAUGUUUAAUCAGCUUGGCAAUCUUGUCAAAAUGACCAAAUAAAAUUGUGACUUUUAAGAGAUUGCCAUGAUAACGUGACGAGGUUGCUGGCAUUAUUUGGUGCUUGGGAAACAAAGCAUCACAGGUAUGUGGUGAUUGAGCUUCUCAAAAAAGAAAUUAGGUGUGCCACUAAAGAUAUCUAAUGAAUUGAACCCAUAAACCACUGAAAGAAGAGUGUGCAAAGGCAAAUGGCUACAGCUAUAUUUGCACAGUAAUAUAAAAGUUGUAAUCGGGCUGAUGGUGCACAGGUGAUGGAUGUAUAUUGUAUGUUCGAGGGCUUAAUUUUUCAUGAGCUACUCAUUUUUGUUUUCCUGUUUUGUUUCCAUGUGCCUUAGUGAGUGGAAUGCCUGACUGCAGACUCCCGUCAUUAUGUACAAUUAAUGAAAAGUAAAGUAAAUUUUUCUAUGGAA